GUCGUCAGCGCAGACUGCUGGAUAUCUGCUGGAAACCACAGCUUCAGCUCCACCCCAUAGUCCUCCCCCAUCAUCAUCUGAGUGAGGAGCAGAAUAACCAACAGAGGAACUUUGGAAUGGAACAGGAUCAACCAGAACCUCCACAGAUUGAAAAGGAACUAGAUGAACUAGAGCUUCCUCAGAUCAAAGAGGAGCAAGUAGAGUUCUCCAUCAGUCAGGAUGAAGAGGAGCUUAAUCUGAAGCAGGAGACUGAAACCUUGACUGAGAUUCCUACUUAUGAGGAAAAUGAGAACAGUAAAGCAGAUCUAAACAAUCAGCAGAACUUUAAUGUAAUGGAUAGGCAGGAUGAAGAAGGAAACCAACAUGAAGAAUCAACAUUAACUCCAGAUGAAGAGACAGACCCACAGAACAGAGAUCAGAGGAAGAGAACAGACAGAAGUCAUGUCCAAAGUGUGGUCAGCUCUCAUAUGUCAGAAAGUCUGUGUGACUCUGAUGUUAGAAAAAACCUUAAGAAGGAAACUUUGGUUAAGCAAUAUAAACAAUCUCCAAAAGAAAAUGGACUUUCCUAUAUACAGUUUGUUAAAAGAACAAUAAGUCCACACAAUUUGUCUGUCUACAGGACAGCUGUGUCUGAUGAAAGACAAUGGGUCUGUAAAGAAUGUGGUAUGGGUUUUAGUUUUUGGUCUCUCCUCAGAGUCCACAUGGAAACUCACGAAAAAGAAAAGCGUUUUUCCUGUAAAGAAUGCGAUAAAAGUUUUAAUCAUAAAUAUCUGCUUAAAGCACACAUGAGAAUUCACACAGGGGAGAAGCCCUUUAUCUGUAAAGAAUGCAAUAGAAGAUUCAGUCAAAAAUCUUAUCUCAGAAGACAUGUAAGAAUCCAUACAGGAGAAAAGCCUUAUUUUUGUAAAGAAUGUGAUAGAAGAUUUAGUAACACAUCUAAUCUCAAAACACACAUGAAAAUUCACGCAAGGACAGAAAAGUUGUUUUCUUGGAAUGAAUGAGAGGAAAACUUACCUCAAAUCACCCAUGAGAACAGGAGAAAAGCCUAUUUUUGUGUGAACAUUUUUAUAAACUUUUUAGGAAAAUCUACAAACUUAUAGAAAAACAUGUUUUCUGUCUUAAAAAAUUAGGGAUUUCUAGCAAAAACCUGCUGGGGUUUUACUCUAAUUGACUUAUGUACUUUUUGAACAUUUGCCAAGGGGUUUCUGAGCCUUUAAAUCAGGGGUGUCAAACCUAUUUUGGUUCAUGGGCCCACAUUUAACCCAUCUGAUCUCAAGUGGGUGGUAACAUAACAGUAAAAUAACCUUUGUUCAACUUGUCUGUCGUUUUGUCUUUAUUUCGUUUUGUUUUCUCGGUUACCUCAACCAACCUAAUCACUUAUUAAUACAGUGUUUAUUAUCUUUAUAUCUUGAUCUCUUGUACUGCCGGUCUUUCUUUUCUUUCACUCCCCCUAGUGGCAGAAUUACGCAUUGUGGUAAUUUCUUUAAAUAACCACAACUCACCACAGAAAUGGGCUAGAGACUUGCUUUUUUUCUCGACAUCCUUAUUUUUUUUUCUCUUUAUGACUGGGCCGGAUUAAACUAUCGUGGGCUGUAUGUUUGACACCUUUGAUUUAAAUGGUCUCUCCAUCUGGAAUCGUAGAAAUCAAUGGAUUAGAGAAUCAUUUUCAAGCAAUUUAAAUAGAAAGAAGCAGAAGUGAAUUGCAAAGCAAUAAGCAGUUGAUGUAUGUGCUAAAAACACUCCUUUUUUUGAUAGUUCUAAUAUACUUUAAUUUUCUGAGACUCAUUUUUAGGUUUUUGUUACUCAUAUACCACAAUUAUCGAAAGAUAAAGGAUUGAUCCAUUACAAGCCUAUGUGUAAUUAUUCUAUACAGUAAGCCCCGCUGUUUGAAUUGACCGAGAAAAAAUAUGGGAUUCUUCAAAAAUGUUUUUUUUUUAUUUGUACCAAUGAGUAAAAAUUUGUUAAAUCUUUGUCUAAAAUGGGUUUUGUGCAGUUUAAAUCUACAAUACAUUUUGUACUAGAAUUGUUUGUUCAUUUUUUUGUUAAAUUUUGUUAAACAAUUUCAAAGCAAUGGUUAGUUUUUGAUGUUUGGUUUUAUUAGUAGAUUUUUGUAGAAUUGCUUUUGGUUUAAAGUUGUUUAGUUGAACAUUGUGGAUCUAGUUUAUGCUGAGAUGAUUUGUGUUUUUCUUACUGACAAUAGUAGAGAUAAUUUGCAUACAUCUGUGAUUCUUAUAAUUUGUAUUUGAUCACUAAACAUAUGAUUGUUUUAAACCAAAGCUGUCAUUUUUAUUUUGUUGUGUCAUGUGAGCAAGUAGCCUUUUAGUGAGGACAUUUUUUCCCCAAAAAAUUAUAAGAGAUAAAUACAAAAACAAACUGGUGUUUGUGUCUCGUGUUUGCGAUUCAUAUUUUCUAGUUUUCAGCGUUGUGUUCAAAUCUUUCCUGUAACGAAUAAAGUGGGCGUGAACGUCA